UGGGGAAUAUUGCACAAUGGGCGCAAGCCUGAUGCAGCCAUGCCGCGUGUGUGAAGAAGGCCUUCGGGUUGUAAAGCACUUUCAGCGAGGAGGAAGGUGGUGAGCUUAAUACGCUAUCAAUUGACGUUACUCGCAGAAGAAGCACCGGCUAACUCCGUGCCAACAGCCGCGGUAAUACGGGAGGGUGCAAGCGUUAAAUCGGAAUUACUGGGCGUAAAGCGCACGCAGGCGGUUUUGUUAAUGUCAGAUGUGAAAAUCCCCGGGCUCAACCUGGGAACUGCAUUUGAAACUGGCAAGCUAGAGUCUCGUAGAGGGGGGUAGAAUUCCAGGUGUAGCGGUGAAAUGCGUUAGAGAU
rnacentral:rRNA from 1 species